CCUACGGGAGGCUGCAGUGGGGAAUAUUGGACAAUGGGCGAAAGCCUGAUCCAGCCAUGCCGCUUGUGUGAAGAAGGCCUUCGGGUUGUAAAGCACUUUCAGUGGGGAAGAAAGCCUUGGGGCUAAUACCCUCGAGGAAGGACAUCACCCACAGAAGAAGCACCGGCUAACUCCGUGCCAGCAGCCGCGGUAAUACGGAGGGUGCGAGCGUUAAUCGGAAUUACUGGGCGUAAAGCGCGCGUAGGCGGUCUGAUAAGCCGGUUGUGAAAGCCCCGGGCUCAACCUGGGAACGGCAUCCGGAACUGUCAGGCUAGAGUGCAGGAGAGGAAGGUAGAAUUCCCGGUGUAGCGGUGAAAUGCGUAGAGAUCGGGAGGAAUACCAGUGGCGAAGGCGGCCUUCUGGACUGACACUGACGCUGAGGUGCGAAAGCGUGGGUAGCAAACAGGAUUAGAUACCCUUGUAGUC
rnacentral:rRNA from 1 species